GAGUUUGAUCCUGGCUCAGAUUGAACGCUGGCGGCAGGCCUAACACAUGCAAGUCGAACGGUAACAGAAAGCAGCUUGCUGCUUUGCUGACGAGUGGCGGACGGGUGAGUAAUGUCUGGGAAACUGCCUGAUGGAGGGGGAUAACUACUGGAAACGGUAGCUAAUACCGCAUAACGUCGCAAGACCAAAGAGGGGGACCUUCGGGCCUCUUGCCAUCGGAUGUGCCCAGAUGGGAUUAGCUUGUUGGUGGGGUAACGGCUCACCAAGGCGACGAUCCCUAGCUGGUCUGAGAGGAUGACCAGCCACACUGGAACUGAGACACGGUCCAGACUCCUACGGGAGGCAGCAGUGGGGAAUAUUGCACAAUGGGCGCAAGCCUGAUGCAGCCAUGCCGCGUGUAUGAAGAAGGCCUUCGGGUUGUAAAGUACUUUCAGCGGGGAGGAAGGGAGUAAAGUUAAUACCUUUGCUCAUUGACGUUACCCGCAGAAGAAGCACCGGCUAACUCCGUGCCAGCAGCCGCGGUAAUACGGCGGGUGCAAGCGUUAAUCGGAAUUACUGGGCGUAAAGCGCACGCAGGCGGUUUGUUAAGUCAGAUGUGAAAUCCCCGGGCUCAACCUGGGAACUGCAUCUGAUACUGGCAAGCUUGAGUCUCGUAGAGGGGGGUAGAAUUCCAGGUGUAGCGGUGAAAUGCGUAGAGAUCUGGAGGAAUACCGGUGGCGAAGGCGGCCCCCUGGACGAAGACUGACGCUCAGGUGCGAAAGCGUGGGGAGCAAACAGGAUUAGAUACCCUGUUAGUCCACGCCGUAAACGAUGUCGACUUGGAGGUUGUGCCCUUGAGGCGUGGCUUUCGGAGCUAACGCGUUAAGUCGACCGCCUGGGGAGUACGGCCGCAAGGUUAAAACUCAAAUGAAUUGACGGGGGCCCGCACAAGCGGUGG
rnacentral:rRNA from 1 species